UGAAAAGUGACAGUUGUCUUUUUAAAAAAAUGAACUUCCGUUAAAGAAAAAAAGAAAGAAAGCUAUAUUAUAUAGAAUAUCAAGUUAAAAUUUUUUAAACUGAAUUUUGUGAUAAUGAAGUAUUUAUGGAAUUUUUCUUUGAUAUUUUUUCCAGUUGAACUUUAUAAUAAAACUACCUGAGAUCACUGGAAUGUGCUAGCCUUAGAAAUAUUUAGGCUGACUUGUAAUUACUUGAAAAUUU
rnacentral:lncRNA from 1 species